CUCCGUGAGCGUUGAAGGCCGCAGAGACCAGUGGGAAGCGACUGUUUACUAAAAACACAGGUCCGUGCGAAGUCGCAAGACGAUGUAUACGGACUGACGCCUGCCCGGUGCUGGAAGGUUAAGAGGAAGGGUCAGCCUCACGGCGAAGCUCUGAAUUUAAGCCCCAGUAAACGGCGGUGGUAACUAUAACCAUCCUAAGGUAGCGAAAUUCCUUGUCGGGUAAGUUCCGACCUGCACGAAUGGCGUAACGACUUCCCAGCUGUCUCAACCGCGAACUCGGCGAAAUUGCACUACGAGUAAAGAUGCUCGUUACGCGCAGCAGGACGGAAAGACCCCGUGACCUUUACUACAGUUUGGUAUUGGUGUUCGGAGUGGCUUGUGUAGGAUAGGUGGGAGACUGUGAAGCGGGCACGCUAGUGUUCGUGGAGUCAUUGUUGAAAUACCACUCUGGUCACUUUGGAUGUCUAACGUAGGACCCUGAUCGGGUUCAUGGACAGUGCCUGAUGGGUAGUUUAACUGGGGCGGUUGCCUCCCAAAGAGUAACGGAGGCGCCCAAAGGUUCCCUCAACCUGGUUGGCAAUCAGGUGGCGAGUGUAAGUGCACAAGGGAGCUUGACUGUGAGACUGACAGGUCGAGCAGGGACGAAAGUCGGGACUAGUGAUCCGGCAGUGGCUUGUGGAAGCGCUGUCGCUCAACGGAUAAAAGGUACCUCGGGGAUAACAGGCUGAUCUUGCCCAAGAGUCCAUAUCGACGGCAUGGUUUGGCACCUCGAUGUCGGCUCGUCGCAUCCUGGGGCUGGAGUAGGUCCCAAGGGUUGGGCUGUUCGCCCAUUAAAGCGGUACGCGAGCUGGGUUUAGAACGUCGUGAGACAGUUCGGUCCCUAUCCGCUGCGCGCGUUGGAAAUUUGAGAAGAUCUAUCCCUAGUACGAGAGGACCGGGAUGGACGAACCUCUGGUGUGUCAGUUGUUCUGCCAAGGGCACCGCUGAUUAGCUACGUUCGGACCGGAUAACCGCUGAAAGCAUCUAAGCGGGAAGCCGUCUUCGAGAUGAGAUUUCCAUGCACCUUGAGUGUGAGAGGCUCCCAGCAGACUACUGGGUUGAUAGGCCGGAUGUGGAAGCGGGGACUAACGACCCGUGGAGCUGACCGGUACUAAUAAGCCGAAGACUUGACACA
rnacentral:rRNA from 1 species